AAAGCCCGAUCAUAUUUCUGCAUUGCAGCUCUGGUUCUGCAGGUCUCUAGACAAGUAAAUAGUUAUUUCAAAGUUAACAGCUGUUCCACAAUUCCUGGUCUAAUUUAUUUUGUUUAAAAAGUAAGAGGUAAAUAUUCUGAGUAUGAAAUCAACUAUCAGCGUCAUUGUGUUAACACUGAUUUCAUCAACAAAGGUAAGUUGUCUUACGCUUUUCUUCGUCAUUUUUUAAUUAUAAAACAAUUGGUGAACAAUGUAUCUAAUCUGAUCAUCAAUGUUUUUAAAUGCAUAAGUAUACAUACAUGUAUUGACAUACGAUAAUGGUGUACAUGAUAUUGUAUACACGUUUUCAUAAAAUAAUUAGAAGGCAGACAUUAGUAAAAGCUGAUGCUGAUAAUAAAUGCAAUGAAUCGAAAGCGACAGCUAAAAUAGUACAUUCAUGUCCAAAAACAGCAAGGGAGUGGAAUGAGGCAGCUAAAAAGAAAGGCUGUAGAAACAGUAAACACUCUUGUACUUCAUUCGAAUACCACUGUGUAAUGAAUGCGUGGGGAAAUGAAACGAUAGAAGUAUGCGCACCAAGCUGGAGUAUUGUAGGCAUGUCGUGUGCAGAAUAUAACUUUGGUGGGAAAAGGAUUCAAAAGGACAAAGCUGAAACAUGUAAUACAUGCCCGACAACUUACCUGUCAACGGAGAGUUAUAAAUAUCAAGAGUGCUACGUCAUGAAGUCGAAGAAGAUGCCAGAAUUGCAAGGGACAACUGAGUCAGCUAUUAUUAGAUUUAUAAUUCCUGAACAUAAUAUAUCAUCUUUAGCAACAGCUCGGAGUCAAGAAUUAAAUUAUACUCACACUAAUUCAGAAAAUACCCCCAUUCCUUUAAUUAUCAGUAUUAUUUGCAUCGUCGUUGGAAUCCCUGUAUUAGCUAUUGUCGCACUCGUAGUUAGCAAAUAGCGGAGGAACUUGUCUUGCUCAGGAAUAUACCGGCGAACUAUUGAAGAGAAUAGGGCGCGAUCAGAAGAAUAUUCGACAUCAACCACCAUCGAUUCUUUUGAGGAAGAAAAAGAACAGCUAACAGCACAUAUUUAAAAAAAAUAAGGACUAUGACUCUCAUUAAUGAACCUAAAGAUAGAGAAACAUUUCAAUACAUCAAUAAGCUGGCAUGUAAUUUUAGCUUAUGUAAUAUACAAUAAUGAAAUUAUUGUAAAGUUAAGUGUUUACACUUUUGAUAUGCAUGUACUUGUGAAUAAAGUUU
rnacentral:misc_RNA from 1 species